GCCAGGAUAGAGUAAUGGUUUGAGCAUUGGAUCAUGACUCUGGAGAUCAGGGUUCAAAUCCCUGCUUGGCC
rnacentral:tRNA from 1 species